UGGGGAAUUUUGGACAAUGGGCGAAAGCCUGAUCCAGCAAUGCCGCGUGUGUGAAGAAGGCCUUCGGGUUGUAAAGCACUUUUGUCCGGAAAGAAAUCCUUGGCUCUAAUACAGUCGGGGGAUGACGGUACCGGAAGAAUAAGCACCGGCUAACUACGUGCCAGCAGCCGCGGUAAUACGUAGGGUGCAAGCGUUAAUCGGAAUUACUGGGCGUAAGCGUGCGCAGGCGGUUUGCUAAGACCGAUGUGAAAUCCCCGGGCUCAACCUGGGAACUGCAUUGGUGACUGGCAGGCUAGAGUAUGGCAGAGGGGGGUAGAAUUCCACGUGUAGCAGUGAAAUGCGUAGAGAUGUGGAGGAAUACCGAUGGCGAAGGCAGCCCCCUGGGCCAAUACUGACGCUCAUGCACGAAAGCGUGGGGAGCAAACAGGAUUAGAUACCCUGGUAGUCCACGCCCUAAACGAUGUCAACUAGUUGUUGGGGAUUCAUUUCCUUAGUAACGUAGCUAACGCGUGAAGUUGACCGCCUGGGGAGUACGGUCGCAAGAUUAAACUCAAU
rnacentral:rRNA from 1 species